rnacentral:rRNA from 1 species
UUUUCCGCAAUGGGCGAAAGCCUGACGGAGCAAUACCGCGUGAGGGAAGACGGCCUAUGGGUUGUAAACCUCUUUUUUCAGGGAGGAAUUUUGACGUGUACCUGAAGAAUAAGCAUCGGCUAACUCCGUGCCAGCAGCCGCGGUAAGACGGAGGAUGCAAGUGUUAUCCGGAAUCACUGGGCGUAAAGCGUCUGUAGGUGGUUAAGCAAGUCAACUGUUAAAUCUUGAGGCUCAACUUCAAAAUCGCAGUCGAAACUGUUUGACUAGAGUAUAGUAGGGGUAAAGGGAAUUUCCAGUGGAGCGGUGAAAUGCGUAGAUAUUGGAAAGAACACCGAUGGCGAAGGCACUUUACUGGGCUAUUACUGACACUCAGAGACGAAAGCUAGGGUAGCAA